rnacentral:rRNA from 1 species
AUACGUAUGGGGCAAGCGUUAUCCGGAUUCAUUGGGCGUAAAGCGCGUGUAGGCGGCUUGUUAAGUCAGAUGUGAAAACCGGGGGCUUAACCCGCGGCGUGCAUCUGAAACUGGCAGGCUUGAGUCUGGUAGAGGAAAGUGGAAUUCCUAGUGUAGCGGUGAAAUGCGCAGAUAUUAGGAGGAACACCAGUGGCGAAGGCGGCUUUCUGAGCCACGACUGACGCUGAGACGCGAAAGCUAGGGGAGCAAACAGGAUUAGAAACCCCAGUAGUCC